UACGUAGGGGGCAAGCGUUGUCCGGAUUUAUUGGGCGUAAAGAGCGUGUAGGCGGUUUGGUAGGUCCGUUGUGAAAACUCGAGGCUCAACCUCGAGACGCCGAUGGAAACCAUCAGACUAGAGUCCGGAAGAGGAGAGUGGAAUUCCUGGUGUAGCGGUGAAAUGCGCAGAUAUCAGGAAGAACACCCGUGGCUAAGGCGGCUCUCUAGUACGGUACUGACGCUGAGACGCGAUAGCGUGGGGAGCGAACAGG
rnacentral:rRNA from 1 species